rnacentral:rRNA from 1 species
GGAGUAUGGGCCGUGUCUCAGUCCCAUUGCGGCCGUUCACCCUCUCAGGCCGGCUACUGAUCGUCGCCUUGGUGGGCCGUUACCUCACCAACUAGCUAAUCAGACGCGAGUCCAUCUUAGACCACCGGAGUUUUUCACACUGUGCCAUGCGGCACUGUGCGCUUAUGCGGUAUUAGCACCUAUUUCUAAGUGUUAUCCCCCAGUCUAAGGCAGGUUACUCACGCGUUACUCACCCGUGCGCCGGUCGCCAUCUAUCAAAGCAAGCUUCGAUAAUGCUGCCCCUCGACUUGCAUGUGUUAAGCCUGUAGCUAGCGUUCAUC